CAGACAAUUAACAUUGAGACCAACACUCCCUGUGAUCAAGAUGGAUCUCCAUAACAGUUUCUUUACAUAGAUGAUGAUCUUCUGUGGGUGAGCUGACUGUGAGGUGAGGCGAUUCAGACAACUUCAGCUCUGCAAAGACAACAUUCUCUCCAACAUGAUUCCCUCUUCCAUAUUGCUUUCUUUUGCCCCUGGCACUUUCUAUUUGAAUAUUUUG